CAGCCGCCGCGGGAAUACAGAGGGUGCAAGCGUUAAUCGGAUUUACUGGGCGUAAAGGGCGCGUAGGUGGUUAUGUAAGUGAGAUGUGAAAUCCCCGGGCUCAACCUGGGAACUGCAUCUUAUACUGCGUAGCUGGAGUGCAGUAGAGGGUAGUGGAAUUUCCGGUGUAGCGGUGAAAUGCGUAGAUAUCGGAAGGAACACCAGUGGCGAAGGCGGCUACCUGGACUGACACUGACACUGAGGCGCGAAAGCGUGGGGAGCAAACAGGAUUAGAUACCCGCGUAGUCCCUGUCUCUUAUAC
rnacentral:rRNA from 1 species